rnacentral:rRNA from 1 species
UACGUAGGGUGCGAGCGUUAAUCGGAAUUACUGGGCGUAAAGCGUGCGCAGGCGGUUUUGUAAGCCAGGUGUGAAAUCCCCGGGCUCAACCUGGGAAUGGCAUUUGGGACUGCAAGGCUGGAGUGUGGCAGAGGAGACUGGAAUUCCUGGUGUAGCAGUGAAAUGCGUAGAUAUCAGGAGGAAUACCGAUGGCGAAGGCAGGUCUCUGGGCUGACACUGACGCUCAUGCACGAAAGCGUGGGGAGCGAAACAACGGAUUGAUGAUAC